CUCAAUUUCAUCACAACUUUGACAAUGUUACAGUGUUGAAUUCUCCAAAUAUAAAUUUAAAAGUUGACGGGAAUCAUAGGAUGAAAAAGAUCUUUACUUGACAUAACAAGAAACUAAUCUCUCUCUCUGUCCUCUGCUAUGAUACCACUG